rnacentral:rRNA from 1 species
CGCAUCUGUGCAUGAGCAUAUCAAUAAGCGGAGGAAAAGAAACUAACAAGGAUUCCCUUAGUAACGGCGAGUGAAGCGGGAAGAGCUCAAAUUUGAAAUCUUCAAGGUUUUACCUUGACGAAUUGUAGUUUAAAGAAGUGUUUUCUGUUGAAGUUUUGGUAAAAGUUCUUUGGAAUAGGACAUCAUAGAGGGUGAGAAUCCCGUAUUUGACCAUUAUUUUCAGCUGUGUGAUACACUUUCAAAGAGUCGGAUUGUUUGGGAAUGCAGUCCAAAAUGGGUGGUAAAUUUCAUCUAAAGCUAAAUAUUGGCGAGAGACCGAUAGCGAACAAGUACCGUGAGGGAAAGAUGAAAAGAACUUUGAAAAGAGAGUUAAACAGUACGUGAAAUUGUCAAAAGGGAAGCGUUUGACACCAGUGUUGUUUUCUCGAAAAUCAAUUAAAAAGAGUUAGAUUUUGUUGUGUAUUGACCUUAACAGCUUGCAUUUCAAUUUUCUUGCUUUUUUUAAUGCACUUUUCGUUUAACAAGUCAACAUCAGUUUCUUUUGUUGUAAAAAGGUCAUUGGAAGGUGGCUUUCUUUUCGGAGAAAGUGUUUAUAGCCUUUGACUCCUGCAAUCGGAGAGACUGAGGUCUGCAGCGUAGAUCCUUCGGGGUUAGAUACAUUUGUGCUAAGUUAUAGCUUUUUAUAGACAACUUGUUGACUAUGAUUAGUCUUGUAGCUUACUCGCUUAUGCUAUUUUACCUACGCUUAGGAUGUUGAUGUGAUACUGCGAGCA